GAGCGAACAGACGAGGAGCUUGCUCCUCUGACGUUAGCGGCGGACGGGUGAGUAACACGUGGAUAACCUACCUAUAAGACUGGGAUAACUUCGGGAAACCGGAGCUAAUACCGGAUAAUAUAUUGAACCGCAUGGUUCAAUAGUGAAAGACGGUUUUGCUGUCACUUAUAGAUGGAUCCGCGCCGCAUUAGCUAGUUGGUAAGGUAACGGCUUACCAAGGCAACGAUGCGUAGCCGACCUGAGAGGGUGAUCGGCCACACUGGAACUGAGACACGGUCCAGACUCCUACGGGAGGCAGCAGUAGGGAAUCUUCCGCAAUGGGCGAAAGCCUGACGGAGCAACGCCGCGUGAGUGAUGAAGGUCUUCGGAUCGUAAAACUCUGUUAUUAGGGAAGAACAAAUGUGUAAGUAACUAUGCACGUCUUGACGGUACCUAAUCAGAAAGCCACGGCUAACUACGUGCCAGCAGCCGCGG
rnacentral:rRNA from 1 species